UACACGCUGUGACUAGCAUAUCAAUAAGCGGAGGAAAAGAAACUAACAAGGAUUCCCCUAGUAACGGCGAGUGAAGCGGGAAGAGCUCAAAUUUGAAAUCUUAAAGGGUUUCCCUUUACGAAUUGUAGUUUAAAGAAGUGUUUUCUGUUGAGGUUUUGGUAAAAGUUCUUUGGAAUAGGACAUCAUAGAGGGUGAGAAUCCCGUAUUUGACCUUUACUUUCAACUUUGUGAUACACUUUCAAAGAGUCGGAUUGUUUGGGAAUGCAGUCCAAAAUGGGUGGUAAAUUUCAUCUAAAGCUAAAUAUUGGCGAGAGACCGAUAGCGAACAAGUACCGUGAGGGAAAGAUGAAAAGAACUUUGAAAAGAGAGUUAAACAGUACGUGAAAUUGUCAAAAGGGAAGCGUUUGACACCAGUGUUGUUUUUCUGAAAAUCAAUUAAAGAACUGUUUAUGCUAAGUUGUUUAGACUUUAUCAGCUAUCUGUUUAGUUUUGAGCUUUUCUUUAAUGCACUUUUCAGUUAACAAGUCAACAUCAAUUUCUUUUGCUGUAAAAAAGCUUGAGGAAGGUGGCUUGAGACUCGUCUUAAGUGUUUAUAGCCUCUUGCCUAUGCAGUCGGAGAGAUUGAGGUCUGCAGCGUAGAUCCUUCGGGGCUAAAUGCAUUUGUGCUAAGUUAUAGCAUUUUAUAGACAACUUGUUGACUAUGAUUUGUCUUGUAGCUUACUCGCUUAUGUUAUUUUACCUACGCUUAGGAUGUUGAGUCGUAGAGCACGCAG
rnacentral:rRNA from 1 species